GAGUUUGAUCAUGGCUCAGAUUGAACGCUGGCGGCAGGCCUAACACAUGCAAGUCGAGCGGUAGCACAGAGAGCUUGCUCUCGGGUGACGAGCGGCGGACGGGUGAGUAAUGUCUGGGAAACUGCCUGAUGGAGGGGGAUAACUACUGGAAACGGUAGCUAAUACCGCAUAACGUCGCAAGACCAAAGAGGGGGACCUUAGGGCCUCUUGCCAUCAGAUGUGCCCAGAUGGGAUUAGCUAGUAGGUGGGGUAAUGGCUCACCUAGGCGACGAUCCCUAGCUGGUCUGAGAGGAUGACCAGCCACACUGGAACUGAGACACGGUCCAGACUCCUACGGGAGGCAGCAGUGGGGAAUAUUGCACAAUGGGCGCAAGCCUGAUGCAGCCAUGCCGCGUGUAUGAAGAAGGCCUUCGGGUUGUAAAGUACUUUCAGCGGGGAGGAAGGUGUUGUGGUUAAUAACCACAGCAAUUGACGUUACCCGCAGAAGAAGCACCGGCUAACUCCGUGCCAGCAGCCGCGGUAAUACGGAGGGUGCAAGCGUUAAUCGGAAUUACUGGGCGUAAAGCGCACGCAGGCGGUCUGUCAAGUCGGAUGUGAAAUCCCCGGGCUCAACCUGGGAACUGCAUUCGAAACUGGCAGGCUAGAGUCUUGUAGAGGGGGGUAGAAUUCCAGGUGUAGCGGUGAAAUGCGUAGAGAUCUGGAGGAAUACCGGUGGCGAAGGCGGCCCCCUGGACAAAGACUGACGCUCAGGUGCGAAAGCGUGGGGAGCAAACAGGAUUAGAUACCCUGGUAGUCCACGCCGUAAACGAUGUCGACUUGGAGGUUGUGCCCUUGAGGCGUGGCUUCCGGAGCUAACGCGUUAAGUCGACCGCCUGGGGAGUACGGCCGCAAGGUUAAAACUCAAAUGAAUUGACGGGGGCCCGCACAAGCGGUGGAGCAUGUGGUUUAAUUCGAUGCAACGCGAAGAACCUUACCUACUCUUGACAUCCAGAGAACUUUCCAGAGAUGGAUUGGUGCCUUCGGGAACUCUGAGACAGGUGCUGCAUGGCUGUCGUCAGCUCGUGUUGUGAAAUGUUGGGUUAAGUCCCGCAACGAGCGCAACCCUUAUCCUUUGUUGCCAGCGGUUCGGCCGGGAACUCAAAGGAGACUGCCAGUGAUAAACUGGAGGAAGGUGGGGAUGACGUCAAGUCAUCAUGGCCCUUACGAGUAGGGCUACACACGUGCUACAAUGGCGCAUACAAAGAGAAGCGACCUCGCGAGAGCAAGCGGACCUCAUAAAGUGCGUCGUAGUCCGGAUUGGAGUCUGCAACUCGACUCCAUGAAGUCGGAAUCGCUAGUAAUCGUAGAUCAGAAUGCUACGGUGAAUACGUUCCCGGGCCUUGUACACACCGCCCGUCACACCAUGGGAGUGGGUUGCAAAAGAAGUAGGUAGCUUAACCUUCGGGAGGGCGCUUACCACUUUGUGAUUCAUGACUGGGGUGAAGUCGUAACAAGGUAACCGUAAAUCUCU
rnacentral:rRNA from 1 species